GUUAAUUGAGACUUUCCAUAUUGCAAAUGACAGAUCUAGAAAACUGUUGGCAUUAACUAUCUGGUCUAUUUGGUUUGCACGAAAUCGGUUGAUUCAUGAGGGUAUAAGAAAGACAAUAAAUGAAUUAUCGGGUUCAUUUCAGGCUAUCUACAUGAAAUUGAUGCUCUAGAGGCUAUGAGAACUACUACUUGCCCCCCUAUGUAUGUGAUUUGGAGACUACCUGAAUCGGGUUUUAUUAAAUUAAAUUUUGAUUCCUCUUUUCAAGCACAAGAGAAAAAAUCUAUUUCAGGAGUUAUCGCAAGAAAUGAAAUGCGUCUGAUUAUUGGGGCUUGUACUUACCCUCACUUUAAUAUUGCAGAUGCUUUUGUUGCUGAAGUCCGGGCUUGCGAACAGGCGGUUCGAUUUGCACAAGAGCUUGGCUUCCGCCGUGUUCAGAUUGAAGGUGACUCGUUGAUGAUUAUCAAACGACUACAUUCCUGCACAGUAGACAGAUCAGUUCUAGGCCCGAUUGUUGUCGAUAUUAAAUGCAGUUUGGUAUUAUUUGAUAGGGUUACCUUUCACCAUGUAAAAAGAGAGGCAAAUGCAGCGGCCCAUGUCUUGGCCAGGGAGGGGCGCCGUUUCUCUGAAGAAAGAUUCUGGGUUGAGGAGGCAUCGGAAUUGGUUGAGUGAACAGCGGCGAUAGACUGGUCGCACUACUCUACAAUGCCCUAAUCAGGGUUUCUAGCUUUGGAUUUUUGGAAAUUUCUAUCUUUCACUCCGAUGAUAAUACUGAAGCUUGCUCUCUAUUGGGUUUUCUUGAUGUUUCAUGCAGUUAUCUCGUUUCCAGGUUCUUUAAAGAGAUUUAGCUGGAUCCAUGGUUUGGAGCUUCUAAUGAGAAUCUGUUUUCUGUCGAUUGAGGUUACUGCUUUAGGUUUUGCUUGUUUGUGGGGUAUUUCUUUUUCUAGUUUGGCUUUAAUUUGGGUUGCAGACUUCUUUAAUUACUUGCUUCUCGACACGUUUAUCUUUCUUUAUUUCCUCCCUUAAUUUUAAUGGAUACCAACUAGCUAGUGUUAUAAAAACUAAACCCACCUAUAAUUCUCUUAAUCAUCUCAAAUGUACCAAC
rnacentral:lncRNA from 1 species